UACGGGAGGCAGCAGUGGGGAAUAUUGCACAAUGGGCGCAAGCCUGAUGCAGCCAUGCCGCGUGUAUGAAGAAGGCCUUCGGGUUGUAAAGUACUUUCAGUCGUGAGGAAGGUGUUAAGGUUAAUAACCUUAGCAAUUGACGUUAGCGACAGAAGAAGCACCGGCUAACUCCGUGCCAGCAGCCGCGGUAAUACGGAGGGUGCGAGCGUUAAUCGGAAUUACUGGGCGUAAAGGGCACGCAGGCGGUUAAUUAAGUUGGAUGUGAAAUCCCCGGGCUUAACCUGGGAAUGGCAUUCAAGACUGGUUAGCUAGAGUCUUGUAGAGGGGGUAGAAUUCCAUGUGUAGCGGUGAAAUGCGUAGAGAUGUGGAGGAAUACCGGUGGCGAAGGUGGCCCCUGGACAAAGACUGACGCUCAUGUGCGAAAGCGUGGGGAGCAAACAGGGAUUAGAUACC
rnacentral:rRNA from 1 species